CAGAAUAGGAACAGUUGAAAUAUCGUUAAAUAUAGAACAAUAUACUAUUAGGUAAAAAAAAAUAUCCCAUAUCAAGCACUAAUUAAUAGACAACUUUCGAGUUCGAUGCAUAUCCGUCAAAACUCUGGUUUUAGUUAACGUCAUUUGUGCGUUUAGGGGCGUCGUCACUUCCAUUCCAAUGUUGAGCGAGUGGUUGGAAAACUAUAAGUCUAUAUUGUACGAAAUAUUCGGCAAAUUGAAUUCUCAAAAUUGACAAUCAGCAUUGCUGUCAUUAGGGAAUUGUCAUUAAGUACCUACAGAACAAUCAUUAUUUCUAGUUUAUCCUGCACAAUGACGAUCACUAAGACGCUUGAUGAACGCAAAUAGUGCAGGGAUACAGGCGACCCCUCUAUCUGGUAAAUGACGGCUUAUAAAGGCGCGCAUAAUUGACGAUUUUUUUCUAGUGACGGAUGAACUCGAAAGUGGUCUAUUCUUCGUUAAAGUGUAAUAAAGAGUUACCAUUAAGCACGCAUGAUAUACAGCUUGAUACAAGAAAGCGCACAUAAUAAAUAGCUUAAUUCGUCAAAGCACACAUAUCAUACGAAGAGCAGAGACUAUAGAGCACACAUAAUUAAGAAGGAGCAACAACAAAAAAAAAAACCACACAUAAUGCUUAAGUACAGCAAGAAAACACAUAAUACAUAAUUACAACAAUAAAGCAC
rnacentral:lncRNA from 1 species